UACGAAGGGGGCUAGCGUUGUUCGGAAUUACUGGGCGUAAAGCGCGCGCAGGCGGUCUUCCAAGUCAGUGGUGAAAGCCCGGAGCUCAACUCCGGAACUGCCAUUGAAACUGUUAGACUUGAGGAUGAGAGAGGUGAGUGGAAUUCCCAGUGUAGAGGUGAAAUUCGUAGAUAUUGGGAAGAACACCGGUGGCGAAGGCGGCUCACUGGCUCAUUUCUGACGCUCAGGCGCGACAGCGUGGGGAUCGAAACAGG
rnacentral:rRNA from 1 species